rnacentral:rRNA from 1 species
GACGUAGGGGGCCAGCGUUGUUCGGAAUUACUGGGUGUAAAGGGUUCGUAGGCGGUGUGGCAAGUCGGGAGUGAAAUCUCUGGGCUCAACUCAGAGACUGCUUCCGAAACUGCUGUGCUGGAGUGUGGGAGAGGCGCGUGGAAUUGCAGGUGUAGCGGUGAAAUGCGUAGAUAUCUGGAGGAACACCGGUGGCGAAGGCGGCAUCCUGGACCGACACUGACGCUGAUGAGCGAAAGCCAGGGGAGCAAACGGG